UACGGAGGGUGCAAGCGUUAUCCGGAUUCACUGGGUUUAAAGGGAGCGCAGGCGGAUUAGUAAGUCAGUGGUGAAAGCCUUAAGCUUAACUUGGGAACUGCCAUUGAUACUAUUAGUCUUGAAUGUUGUUGAGGUUUGCGGAAUGGGUCAUGUAGCGGUGAAAUGCAUAGAUAUGACCCGGAACACCUAUUGCGAAGGCAGCAGGCUAAACAAAUAUUGACGCUGAGGCUCGAAAGCGUGGGGAUCAAACAGG
rnacentral:rRNA from 1 species